GGCAUCAAUUGAUAUUGAAAACUCCGGUGGAUAAAGAUGGGCACGCGCAAGAUUAGAUAGUUGGUGAGGUAACGGCUCACCAAGUCGAUGAUCUUUAGGGGGCCUGAGAGGGUGAUCCCCCACACUGGUACUGAGACACGGACCAGACUCCUACGGGAGGCAGCAGUAAGGAAUAUUGGACAAUGGGUUAGCGCCUGAUCCAGCCAUCCCGCGUGAAGGAUUAAGGACCUAUGGUUUGUAAACUUCUUUUGUACAGGGAUAAACCUACCCUCGUGAGGGUAGCUGAAGGUACUGUACGAAUAAGCACCGGCUAACUCCGUGC
rnacentral:rRNA from 1 species